rnacentral:rRNA from 1 species
GAAUAUUGGACAAUGGCCGCAAGGCUGAUCCAGCCAUGCCGCGUGCUGGAUGAAGGUGCUCUGCAUUGUAAACUGCUUUUGUUCGGGAAUAAACCCCUCUACGUGUAGAGGGCUGAAUGUACCGAAAGAAUAAGGGUCGGCUAACUUCGUGCCAGCAGCCGCUGUAAUACGAAGGACCCAAGCGUUAUUCGGAUUUAUUGGGUUUAAGGGGUGCGUAGGCGGAAUAUUAAGUCAGUGGUGAAAGCCUACAGCUUAACUGUAGAAUUGCCAUUGAUACUGAUGUUCAUGAGUAUGAUUGAGGUGGGCGGAAUGUGUCAUGUAGCGGUGAAAUGCUUAGAUAUGACACAGAACACCGAUUGCGAAGGCAGCUCACUAAGCCAAUACUGACGCUGAUGCACGAAAGCGUGGGGAGCAAACAGG